rnacentral:sRNA from 1 species
UCCUCAACCUCAGGUGGAGCCGCCACCAAAAUGCAGAUUUUCGUGAAAACCCUUACGGGGAAGACCAUCACCCUCGAGGUUGAACCCUCGGAUACGAUAGAAAAUGUAAAGGCCAAGAUCCAGGAUAAGGAAGGAAUUCCUCCUGAUCAGCAGAGACUGAUCUUUGCUGGCAAGCAGCUGGAAGAUGGACGUACUUUGUCUGACUACAAUAUUCAAAAGGUCUGUCUAGGGGAAGAGCAGCCUCUUUAAAAAAAAUGUUAGUUUGGAAAUUUUUUAUUUUACUUUUUUUGAGACAGGCUCUGACUCUGUCACCUAGGGUGGAGUGAGUGGCGCAGUCACUGCAACCUCCACCUCUCAGACUCAGGUGGUCCUCCCACCUCAGCCUCCUGUAGUUGGAACUAUAGGCACCCGCCACCAUGCCCAGGCUGGUCUCAAACUUCUGGGCUUAAGUGAUCUUCCCACCGUGGCCUCCCAGCGCUGGGAUUACAGACGUGAGCCACUCCAUGUGGUGUAUUCUGGACAUUUUGACACACAAAAAGGGAGAAUGGCAUUCGAUUAGCAGUAGAUUUUUAGGUAACUCCUAUACUGAUACUUGAGAAGCACUGCUAUAGUUCUCCCAUUAUGAAUUUUGCAAGUUGCAUCCCAUGGUGUAAUGUAAUGCAUUCUUUAAUGUCCCUAUAAACUGUUAGUUAAGAAUCAGAUACUUUAUUGGGUUUGGGGGCUGCAAGAUUCCCUCAAAUGUUAUUGUGUACUGCUACUGCUUUUAAUUAGAAAAUGCAUAAUGUUGGGUGUGCCCAUUCUUAGUGGAAUCAUGAAAGCUUGCUUCAUUCUUCCAUUAACAGGAGUCUACUCUUCAUCUUGUGUUGAGACUUCGUGGUGGUGCUAAGAAAAGGAAGAAGAAGUCUUACACCACUCCCAAGAAGAAUAAGCACAAGAGAAAGAAGGUUAAGCUGGCUGUCCUGAAAUAUUAUAAGGUGGAUGAGAAUGGCAAAAUUAGUCGCCUUCGUCGAGAGUGCCCUUCUGAUGAAUGUGGUGCUGGGGUGUUUAUGGCAAGCCACUUUGACAGACAUUAUUGUGGCAAAUGUUGUCUGACUUACUGUUUCAACAAACCAGAAGACAAGUAACUGUAUGAGUUAAUAAAAGACAUGAACUAACA